CCUACGGGAGGCAGCAGUGGGGAAUUUUGGACAAUGGGCGCAAGCCUGAUCCAGCAAUGCCGCGUGCAGGAAGAAGGCCUUCGGGUUGUAAACUGCUUUUGUCAGGGAAGAAAUCUUCUGGGUUAAUACCUCGGGAGGAUGACGGUACCUGAAGAAUAAGCACCGGCUAACUACGUGCCAGCAGCCGCGGUAAUACGUAGGGUGCGAGCGUUAAUCGGAAUUACUGGGCGUAAAGCGUGCGCAGGCGGCUUUGCAAGACAGAGGUGAAAUCCCCGGGCUCAACCUGGGAACUGCCUUUGUGACUGCAAGGCUAGAGUACGGCAGAGGGGGAUGGAAUUCCGCGUGUAGCAGUGAAAUGCGUAGAUAUGCGGAGGAACACCAAUGGCGAAGGCAAUCCCCUGGGCCUGUACUGACGCUCAUGCACGAAAGCGUGGGGAGCAAACAGGAUUAGAUACCCUGGUAGUCCACGCCCUAAACGAUGUCAACUGGUUGUUGGACGGCUUGCUGUUCAGUAACGAAGCUAACGCGUGAAGUUGACCGCCUGGGGAGUCGGCCGCAAGGUUGAAACUCAAAGGAUUGACGGNNGAGAGNGCGAGGACGACGACGAGGGAGGAGG
rnacentral:rRNA from 1 species